AGCGAACGCUGGCGGCAGGCCUAACACAUGCAAGUCGAACGAACCUUUCGGGGUUAGUGGCGGACGGGUGAGUAACACGUGGGAACGUACCUUUAGGUUCGGAAUAACUCAGGGAAACUUGUGCUAAUACCGAAUGUGCCCUUCGGGGGAAAGAUUAAUCGCCUUUAGAGCGGCCCGCGUCUGAUUAGCUAGUUGGUUGAGGUAAUGGCUCACCAAGGCGACGAUCAGUAGCUGGUCUGAGAGGAUGAUCAGCCACAUUGGGACUGAGACACGGCCCAAACUCCUACGGGAGGCAGCAGUGGGGAAUCUUGCGCAAUGGGCGAAAGCCUGACGCAGCCAUGCCGCGUGAAUGAUGAAGGUCUUAGGAUUGUAAAAUUCUUUCACCGGGGACGAUAAUGACGGUACCCGGAGAAGAAGCCCCGGCUAACUUCGUG
rnacentral:rRNA from 1 species